rnacentral:rRNA from 1 species
CGGCGGACGGGUGAGUAACGCGUGGGUAACCGACCUCAUACAGGGGGAUAACAGUUGGAAACGGCUGCUAAUACCGCAUAAGCGCACAGUACCGCAUGGUACCGUGUGAAAAACUCCGGUGGUAUGAGAUGGACCCGCGUCUGAUUAGCUAGUUGGUGGGGUAACGGCCUACCAAGCGACGAUCAGUAGCCGACCUGAGAGGGUGACCGGCCACAUUGGGACUGAGACACGGCCCAA